rnacentral:tRNA from 1 species
GGGAAGGUAGCUCAGUGGUAGAGUACUUGCCUUGCAUGCAUGAGGCCCUGGGUUCGAAUUCUUAGCACCA